GAUGAACGCUGGCGGCGUGCCUAAUACAUGCAAGUCGAGCGAACAGACGAGGAUCUUGCUCCUCUGACGUUAGCGGCGGACGGGUGAGGAACACGUGGCUAACCGACCUAUAAGACUGGGAUAACUUCGGGAAACCGGAGCUAAUACCGGAUAAUAUAUUGAACCGCAUGGUUCAUUAGAGAAAACCGGUUUUGCUGUCACUUAUAGAGGGUUCCUCGCCGCAUUAGCUAGUUGGUAAGGUAACGGCUUACCAAGGCAACGAUGCGUAGCCGACCUGAGAGGGUGAUCGGCCACACUGGAACUGAGACACGGUCCAGACUCCUACGGGAGGCAGCAGUAGGGAAUCUUGCGCAAUGGGCGAAAGCUUGACGCAGCAACGCCGCGUGAGUGAUGAAGGUCUUCGGAUCGUAAAGCUCUGUUAUUAGGGAAGAACAAAUGUGUAAGUAUAUAUGCACGUCUUGACGGUACCUACUCAGAAAGCCACGGCUAACUACGUG
rnacentral:rRNA from 1 species